rnacentral:rRNA from 1 species
AAAGCAUGGGUAGCGAACAGGAUUAGAUACCCUGGUAGUCCAUGCCGUAAACGAUGAGUGCUAAGUGUUGGAGGGUUUCCCCCUUCGGUGCUGCAGCUAACGCAUUAAGCACUCCGCCUGGGGAGUACGACCGCAAGGUUGAAACUCAAAGGAAUUGACGGGGGCCCGCACAAGCGGUGGAGCAUGUGGUUUAAUUCGAAGCUACGCGAAGAACCUUACCAGGUCUUGACAUCUUCUGCCAAUCUUAGAGAUAAGACGUUCCCUUCGGGGACAGAAUGACAGGUGGUGCAUGGUUGUCGUCAGCUCGUGUCGUGAGAUGUUGGGUUAAGUCCCGCAACGAGCGCAACCCUUAUUAUCAGUUGCCAGCAUUCAGUUGGGCACUCUGGUGAGACUGCCGGUGACAAACCGGAGGAAGGUGGGGAUGACGUCAAAUCAUCAUGCCCCUUAUGACCUGGGCUACACACGUGCUACAAUGGACGGUACAACGAGUCGCGAAGUCGUGAGGCUAAGCUAAUCUCUUAAAGCCGUUCUCAGUUCGGAUUGUAGGCUGCAACUCGCCUACAUGAAGUUGGAAUCGCUAGUAAUCGCGGAUCAGCAUGCCGCGGUGAAUACGUUCCCGGGCCUUGUACACACCGCCCGUCACACCAUGAGAGUUUGUAACACCCAAAGCCGGUGAGAUAACCUUCGGGAGUCAGCCGUCUAAGGUGGGACAGAUGAUUAGGGUGAAGUCGUAACAAGGUAACCA